UACGUAAUGCGAAUUUGCAGGAUUCAGUGAGUCAUCGAAAUUUUGAACGCAUAUUGCACUUCCGGGUUAGUCCUGGGAGUAUGCCUGUAUCAGUGUCCGU
rnacentral:rRNA from 1 species